AAAGUUUUGGAGUCACCUGC
rnacentral:miRNA from 1 species